rnacentral:lncRNA from 1 species
GCAGAAGGCUCCCGAGGUGGUUUAUGCUUAGCAUGGAAAGGAGAGAUUUCAGUCACUUUAAGAAGUUUCUCCAAGUAUCAUAUUGAUGUUAUAGUUAUGGAAGAAAAUGGUAACGAAGAGUGGAGAUUCACAGGAUUCUAUGGCUCCCCUUAUGUCAAAGAUAAUAAUGAGUCUUGAAAUUUGCUACGAAAAUUAGGACAAGAUCAGGGACACCUAUGGCUUGUAAGUGGGAAUUUCAACGAAAUUAUGUAUUCUUUUGAGAAGAAAGGAGGGCUUCCAAGAGAAGAAAGACGAAUGGAGGCUUUUAGAGAGACCUUUGAGGAAUGUCAAUUAGAAGACUUAGGAUAUACAGGGGUUUGAUUCACAUGAGAAAGAAGAAAUUUGCCUGAAACAAAUAUCAGAGAAAGAUUGGAUAGGGGAGUUGCUAAUGACAAAUGGAGGAAUCUCUUCCCGACCGAAAAUAUUCAUCAUUUAACUCAUUCGAUGUCCGAUCAUUGUCCAAUUCUUCUCAAUACAAAAAUUGAAAAUACUUAUGUGGGAAGUCCAAGGUUUAAAUUUGAGGUAUGGUGGACCAUGAAAGAAUCUUUAGAGGGGAAAAUUAAAACAUCUUGGGAAUUAUCCACCGGUACUUUAUUGGAUAAACUGGAAAAACUACAAUCAAAUUUAAAGGAAUGGGCAGAACUAAUUAAAAAAGGCCGAAAAGGGUUAAAGAAAAGGCUUACUAAGAACCUUGAGAUGCUGUUGGAGGAAGAAAGCAACGAUGAUAUAAUGGCAAAGAUUAUUGAUACAAAUGUGCACUUAAAUAAAUAAAUUGAUAAAGAUGAGAUGUAUUGGGAACAGAGGGCAAGAGCGAAUUGGCUUAAAGUAGGGGACAAGAACACAUCUUUUUUUCAUAAGUACGCCUCGUCUCGUCGAAAAAAAAAACACUAUUUCAAGGCUGGAGUUAGAUAGAGGAAGAGAGGCGACUGAAGAAGGCAAGAUCAGUGAAGUUGCUACGUCAUUCUUUCAGGAGCUAUUUACAUCAAAAGGAGUAGGAGAGUUAUCUCAUCUCUUAACAAGGCAUUGAAGGAAAAAUUACGCAAGAUAUGAAUGCAGAUUUAAUGGCAAAUUUUACGGAAGAAGAAGUGUAUUCAACCUUGAAAGGAAUGGGACCAACGAAAGCACCAAGACCUGAUGGAUUUCCAGCACUUUUCUUUCAGCAAUACUGACAUAUAAUAGGUAAAGAAGUUAUAACUUUUUGGGAAUUUUAAAUAGCGGUACAAAUCUUGGCCCUUUCAAUUCAACUGAUAUUGUACUGAUUCCAAAAACUCAGAAUCCGAAGAAUUUAGCAAAAUUCAAACCUAUUAGUUUAUGUACCGUUAUCUACAAACUCGUAGCUAAGACAAUUGCCAAUAGACUUCAAAAGGUUAUUGGGCAAUGUAUUGAUGUGGCGCAGAGUGCUUUUGCCCCAGGAAAGCUAAUUUCUGAUAACAUUUUGCUAGCUUACGAGAUCCUACAUACUUUCAGGCGAAAGCAUACAGGAAAGAAAGGUUUAAUGGCAGUAAAACUUGAUAUGAACAAAGCCUAUUAUAGGGUCGAGUGGAGGUUUCUUAAGAAAGUUAUGUUGCGAAUAGGCUUUGCAAAAGAAUGGGUUGAUUUAAUUAUGAAAUGCAUUUGUACAGCAACUUAUGCAGUCAAUAUCAAUGGAAAAAGGAGGUGAACUUUUCAAUCUUCUAGAGGGUUGCACUAGGGUGAUCCCCUUAGUCCCUUCCUAUUUCUACUAUGUAGCGAGGGGCUUUCGGCAUUAAUGAGUUUGGCAUUGAAAGAGGGUAAGAUGAAAAGAGCAAAGGCAAGCAGGAAAGGACCCCAUCUCACAUCUUCUCUUUGCAGAUGACUGUAUAUUGUUCGGUGAAGCCAUUGAUGAGGGAGUGAGAUUGCUAAAAGAGAUUCUAAAGGAAUAUGAAGACUGUUUUGGUCAGUGCAUUAAAUUUGAUAAAUCUACAAUUUUUUCAGCUCGAAUACAUCAAAAGAAAAAAAGGAUGAGGUAUUAGGAAGUUUAAGGAUAAGAGGGUCAAUAGAUAUGGAGAAGUAUUUAGGUCUCCCUAAGGCGAUUGGUAGACGUAAAAGGGAGUCAUUUCAAUAUCUAAAAGAUAAGGUCAAUUCCAAAAUUAAAGAUUGGAGUACCAGAUUGCUUUCACAAGGAGGUAAAGAAGUAUUCAUUAAAUCAAUACUUCAGGCUAUUCCGACCUAUGCUAUGUCGUGUUUUCUUCUUACUAGUUCCCUAUGUGAUGAACUGGAAAAGAUCUUUGCCAAUUUCUGGUGGCAAAAGUAGGGGAAAAAAAGAAUCCACUGGUGUAAAUGGCAGCAUAUGUGUGGAGCCAAAGGAGGAAUAGGCUUUAGGAACAUGGUUAAAUUUAAUGUCUCCUUAUUAGCUAAACAAGGCUGGAGAAUACUAAACAAUCCAAACUCGCUAGUUUCUACACAUGGAAGAGUAUAUGGGCAAUUAAAGGUAUUCUAUCAGAAGGAUUAUGCCAAAAAGUGGGGAAGGGUACUGAAAUCUCGAUUAAGAAUGACAGUUGGAUAUCAGAUUUAAAUUAUGCCAGUUUAUCGUCUCAUUUUACUAAUUUGCGAGAUUAUAAAGUUGCAGAGUUAAUUGACGAUAGCAAUAGAAAAUGGAAAAAAGACUUGAUCGAAUCUACCUUUCCAGUGGAGAUAUCUGAGAAAAUCCCGCUAGCUAAAGAGCCUCAUGAUGAUUUUCUGGCCUAGAGGGGAGAGUCCUCGGGAGAGUUUACGGUGAGAAGUGCUUAUAAACUAUUACAAGAUAUUGAAAUUGACCCUAGAGCUUAUGCCUUACAAAACGAAACUAGGAAGUUUUACAAAAAUCCCUGGCUCCUAAAUCUACCUUCUAAGCUAAAAAUUACAGUCUGGCGAAUAUCAUGGAAUUAUAUACCAACGUGGGUUAAUUUGCAUUACAGAAGGCUUUUAAGUCAUACAAUAUGUUCUGGGUGCGGCAGAGCGGCAGAAACCACAAAUCACAUAUUCCGCGAGUGUCCUGUGGCAACGACAGUAUGGGAAGAGUUAUCAUUCUCGGAGUUACUACAAGUACCCCAUAUGGAAUUUAUACAGUGGUUCACCUGGGUUUUGAACAGAAUACUCCCACCCGUCGUAGGGCCUUUUGUUGUGCUCUUUGGGCAAUUUGGGGAGAAAGGAACAAGAGAGUGCAUGAGAAGACAAGUAGAUCUGGGAAAGAGAUUGCAUUUUUUAUCAAGAUAUAUAUCUCCGAGCUAAGUGGGGUUGAAGAAAAAGUUCCAAAAGUUAUAACAGGAGAUAGAAAGUGGAAACACCCACCUGGCCAGUUUGUGAAGGUUAACUUUGACGCAGCUUAUGAUGAGAAUGUACGAUAAUCGGCAGUAGGAAUUGUGGCCAGGGACAGUGAAGGAACUGCUCUCUUAUCAAUUACAGAGAUUCAUCAUCAAGUAACAUCAGCAUUUGCCGCCGAAGCAAUAGCUUGCCGGAUAGCAACUCAAAUCGGUAUGGACAUGCAAUGGCCAAACAUUAUUAUUGAAGGAGAUGCACUAUCAAUCAUAAAGAAAUGCAAACAAAAAAGGCAUGAUAAAUCAAGGAUCGGAGCAUAUAUCCGAGAUAUUCAUCAGUUACUGGUAAAAUCAAAAAGAUGCUAUUUUGAGUACAUACCAAGAGAAACAAACAGUCUAGCACAUACAUUAGCAAGGGAGGCAUUAAAAAAGAAGGAAGAGAUUUACCUGAUCGGAAGAGUUCCGGAGUAUGCUGAGAACUCGAAAGAAGAAGAAAAGAAGGGAGAGUACAGAACAAAGAGGCUACAAAAGGGGAAACCCAAAGGUUUGAUGAAACGGCCUCAUUGAAAUCCUGGAAACGUCACAUUGAAGAAAUGAAUAAUGAUCUGAAAAGACGGGAACAGAUUUUUUUUGAUUGGGCAAGUUUGCGGUGUCUUUAAAUAGGUUCUAGAGGUUUAUGAUUUUAUUACUCUGUUU